rnacentral:rRNA from 1 species
GGCAGUCGCAGCUUACCAUGCAGUCGAACGAUGAAGCCCAGCUUGCUGGGUGGAUUAGUGGCGAACGGGUGAGUAACACGUGAGUAACCUGCCCUUGACUCUGGGAUAAGCCUGGGAAACUGGGUCUAAUACCGGAUAGGAACGUCCACCGCAUGGUGGGUGUUGGAAAGAUUUAUCGGUCAUGGAUGGACUCGCGGCCUAUCAGCUUGUUGGUGAGGUAAUGGCUCACCAAGGCGACGACGGGUAGCCGGCCUGAGAGGGUGACCGGCCACACUGGGACUGAGACACGGCCCAGACUCCUACGGGAGGCAGCAGUGGGGAAUAUUGCACAAUGGGCGAAAGCCUGAUGCAGCGACGCCGCGUGAGGGAUGACGGCCUUCGGGUUGUAAACCUCUUUCAGUAGGGAAGAAGCGAAAGUGACGGUACCUGCAGAAGAAGCACCGGCUAACUACGUGCCAGCAGCCGCGGUAAUACGUAGGGUGCGAGCGUUAUCCGGAAUUAUUGGGCGUAAAGAGCUCGUAGGCGGUUUGUCGCGUCUGUCGUGAAAGUCCGGGGCUUAACCCCGGAUCUGCGGUGGGUACGGGCAGACUAGAGUGCAGUAGGGGAGACUGGAAUUCCUGGUGUAGCGGUGGAAUGCGCAGAUAUCAGGAGGAACACCGAUGGCGAAGGCAGGUCUCUGGGCUGUAACUGACGCUGAGGAGCGAAAGCAUGGGGAGCGAACAGGAUUAGAUACCCUGGUAGUCCAUGCCGUAAACGUUGGGCACUAGGUGUGGGGACCAUUCCACGGUUUCCGCGCCGCAGCUAACGCAUUAAGUGCCCCGCCUGGGGAGUACGGCCGCAAGGCUAAAACUCAAAGGAAUUGACGGGGGCCCGCACAAGCGGCGGAGCAUGCGGAUUAAUUCGAUGCAACGCGAAGAACCUUACCAAGGCUUGACAUGUUCUCGAUCGCCGUAGAGAUACGGUUUCCCCUUUGGGGCGGGAUCACAGGUGGUGCAUGGUUGUCGUCAGCUCGUGUCGUGAGAUGUUGGGUUAAGUCCCGCAACGAGCGCAACCCUCGUUCCAUGUUGCCAGCACGUCAUGGUGGGGACUCAUGGGAGACUGCCGGGGUCAACUCGGAGGAAGGUGGGGACGACGUCAAAUCAUCAUGCCCCUUAUGUCUUGGGCUUCACGCAUGCUACAAUGGCCGGUACAAUGGGUUGCGAUACUGUGAGGUGGAGCUAAUCCCAAAAAGCCGGUCUCAGUUCGGAUUGGGGUCUGCAACUCGACCCCAUGAAGUCGGAGUCGCUAGUAAUCGCAGAUCAGCAACGCUGCGGUGAAUACGUUCCCGGGCCUUGUACACACCGCCCGUCAAGUCACGAAAGUCGGUAACACCCGAAGCCGGUGGCCUAACCCUUGUGGGGAGCCGUCGAAGUGACCCUGUUG